rnacentral:lncRNA from 1 species
AUAUAGCCACAACAUAUGGCAAAAUACAAUAAACAAAUCCAUGGAGAUGAACAAAAAAAAUCGAUAAAAAAUACAGUUUGAGUACAGGUGUGUAGAGAUAAGUCCACUUUUAUUAUCUAGAUUACUAACUCCCUACUUGAGGCACUUGAGAAUUUUUCGUAUAUCAUACGGGAUGUUGUCUUCAGCUUCAUUCGCAUGAUAGUCGAGUAAAUAUAUCAAAAAAAUCUUUCUCAACUCAUAACCAUCCUGCAUGAGCAAUGUAUCUCAUUAGCAUGCGAUCAUGCUUCUUUUUUUAUUAAUAUGUGCUACAGGACACUCACCGUGCAAAUUGGACGAACAAAUUUGUUACCAUACCAUGAGAGCA